AUUGAACGCUGGCGGCAUGCCUUACACAUGCAAGUCGAACGGUAACGGGCCUUCGGGUGCCGACGAGUGGCGAACGGGUGAGUAAUGCACCGGCACGUACCUUUCAGUGGGGGAUAACGUCGCGAAAGUUACGCUAAUACCGAAUAUUCUGUGAGCAGGAAAGCAGGGGAUCGCAAGACAUUGCGCUGUUUGAGCGGCCGAUGUCAGAUUAGCUAGUUGGUGAGGUAAAGGCUCACCAAGGCGACGAUCUGUAGCGGGUCUGAGAGGAUGAUCCGCCACACUGGAACUGAGACACGGUCCAGACUCCUACGGGAGGCAGCAGUGGGGAAUUUUGGACAAUGGGGGCAACCCUGAUCCAGCCAUGCCGCGUGAGUGAAGAAGGCCUUCGGGUUGUAAAGCUCUUUCGGCUGGGAAGAAAUCGUAUGGGCUAAUACCCUGUGCGGAUGACGGUACCGGCAUAAGAAGCACCGGCUAACUACGUGCCAGCAGCCGCAGUAACAC
rnacentral:rRNA from 1 species